rnacentral:tRNA from 1 species
AUAAAGGCCUUAAGGUGAUUAUCAUGUCGAAUUGCAAAUUCGAAGAUGUAGAGAUCUCCUCUACUAAGGCU